AUCACUUCUAAACUACCGUCACUGAGUCACAAUCCAUCCGAGAAAAAAAUUCUGAUAAAACAGUCCAUUGGGGAGAUGAGGGGAAACUGGAAGGUUGGCAUCAUGUGGAAUACAUGAAAAUUUAAUAUUACUGUUAACAUUCAAUCCAAUAUGCUAUUCGAAUAUGGGCUGUGAACAUUUUGUUUUAUAUUUGUGAUUUAUUUUGAUAUGGGUCAAAACUUAUAGUUAUUAAAUAGACCUGGCAUGGGCCUAAUACGUUAAGCCCAUGCAUAAUGAUGUAUUAACAGGUCAUAGGUUAAACGUUGUGUCGUACCAAUAAUCAUCGAUCAGUUUAGUCUAAAAAUCUCGUUUGUAUCUUCA